UAUAUGUAUAUCCUCAAUAAUCAACGAUAUCUAAAGCAUUUUUUUUCUCUCUUUCUAGCAAAUUCUAUUCUUUGUCCAUCCCAUCCUUAGUCUUGCUCUUAUAUGACUUUCAAUCAGUCAACAACGUCAAGAGAUCGAUAUGAAUAGCACGUUUGGAUUUUCAUCGUAAAGGUGAUUAGCGACCGACGUGCCAUGAGUUGUUCUAGCUACGAAAAAGCAUGCUGCAGCUUGAUCUAGAGUUGCAACUAGUACUCCUAUACGUAGACUAUCCAUCCCUUUGAAAAGUUGUGGUAUUUACAACUAUAUACUUAUGUUGAAGCAUGUAAUUUUAAAUUGACUAACAGAUUGAUUUUUCAUCUUUUAUUGAUUAUAACAAUAUAAUUAUAAGCAAUUUAUGAGAUUAACUAUUGGAAUUCA